CACAGAUAAGAGCAGAGACGAAUCUACUGACACCAUGUAGCAGGGAGAAAAUGGAGAUGAAACAUUGGUGUAGUUGAAGACUGAACCUGUAGUGUGGAGUGUUAGUCAACUGUAAACUGUAGAAGAUCUGUGCAUUUUACACAAAUUGAAUACAGAAGWGAAGGAGGCAGAGCCUGCAUCAUUCCAGCUCUGAUAAUGUGCACGGUCUUCGGAAUUCCUGUCCCCGUUCGUGGAGCCAUUUAUUGGAUACUGCAAAAACAGAGGAACCGAUGCAGUUCAAGACUCC